GACGUAGGGCGCGAGCGUUGUCCGGAUUUAUUGGGCGUAAAGAGCUCGUAGGCGGUUUGUCGCGUCUGCUGUGAAAGCCCGGGGCUCAACCCCGGGUCUGCAGUGGGUACGGGCAGACUAGAGUGCAGUAGGGGAGACUGGAAUUCCUGGUGUAGCGGUGAAAUGCGCAGAUACCAGGAGGAACACCGGUGGCGAAGGCGGUUCUCUGGGCAUGUCCUGACGCUGAGGAGCGAAAGUGUGGGGAGCGAACAGG
rnacentral:rRNA from 1 species